rnacentral:rRNA from 1 species
AUCCUGGCUCAGGACGAACGCUGGCGGCGUGCCUAAUACAUGCAAGUCGAGCGGAGUUUGGUUGGAAGCUUGCUUCCAAUCUUGCUUAGCGGCGGACGGGUGAGUAACACGUAGGCAACCUGCCCUCAAGACUGGGAUAACUACCGGAAACGGUAGCUAAUACCGGAUAAUUUCUUUCCUCUCCUGAAGAGAGAAUGAAAGGCGGAGCAAUCUGCCACUUGGGGAUGGGCCUGCGGCGCAUUAGCUAGUUGGUGGGGUAACGGCUCACCAAGGCGACGAUGCGUAGCCGACCUGAGAGGGUGAACGGCCACACUGGGACUGAGACACGGCCCAGACUCCUACGGGAGGCAGCAGUAGGGAAUCUUCCGCAAUGGGCGACAGCCUGACGGAGCAACGCCGCGUGAGUGAUGAAGGUUUUCGGAUCGUAAAGCUCUGUUGCCAGGGAAGAACGUCCGGUAGAGUAACUGCU